UCUCAAAGAUUAAGCCAUGCAUGUCUAAGUAUAAGCAAUUAUACAGCGAAACUGCGAAUGGCUCAUUAUAUAAGUUAUCGUUUAUUUGAUAGCACCUUACUACUUGGAUAACCGUGGUAAUUCUAGAGCUAAUACAUGCUAAAAACCCCGACUUCGGAAGGGGUGUAUUUAUUAGAUAAAAAACCAAUGCCCUUCGGGGCUCCUUGGUGAAUCAUAAUAACUUAACGAAUCG
rnacentral:rRNA from 17 species